CGUACACUCCUACGGGAGGCAGCAGUGGGGAAUAUUGGACAAUGGGCGCAAGCCUGAUCCAGCCAUGCCGCGUGAGUGAUGAAGGCCCUAGGGUUGUAAAGCUCUUUCACCGGUGAAGAUAAUGACGGUAACCGGAGAAGAAGCCCCGGCUAACUUCGUGCCAGCAGCCGCGGUAAUACGAAGGGGGCUAGCGUUGUUCGGAUUUACUGGGCGUAAAGCGCACGUAGGCGGACUAUUAAGUCAGGGGUGAAAUCCCGGGGCUCAACCCCGGAACUGCCUUUGAUACUGGUAGUCUUGAGUUCGAGAGAGGUGAGUGGAAUUCCGAGUGUAGAGGUGAAAUUCGUAGAUAUUCGGAGGAACACCAGUGGCGAAGGCGGCUCACUGGCUCGAUACUGACGCUGAGGUGCGAAAGCGUGGGGGGCAAACAGGAUUAGAAACCCCUGUAGUCC
rnacentral:rRNA from 1 species